AACGAACGCUGGCGGCAUGCUUAACACAUGCAAGUCGAACGUGAUCCCUGGCUUCGGCUGGGGUGAAAGUGGCGGACGGGUGAGUAACGCGUGGGAACCUGCCCUAUGGUUGGGGAUAACCGCGGGAAACUGCGGCUAAUACCCGAUGAGCCCUAUGGGGGAAAGAUUUAUCGACAUUGGAGGGGACCGCGUCGGAUUAGGUAGUUGGGGGGGUAACGGCCUACAAAGCCCGUGAUCCGUAGCUGGUCUGAAAUGAUGAUCAGCCACACUGGGAGUGGGAUACGGGCCAGACUCCUACGGGAGGCAGCAGUGGGGAAUAUUGGACAAUGGGGGCAACCCUGAUCCAGCAAUGCCGAGGGAGUGAAGAAGGCCUUAGGGUUGUAAAGCUCUUUCGGAGGGGAAGAUGGUGACGGUACCCGCAGAAGAAGGCCCGGCUAACUCCGUGCCAGCCGCCGCAGUAACAC
rnacentral:rRNA from 1 species